AUUGAACGCUGGCGGCGUGCUUAACACAUGCAAGUCGAUCGGUAACAGGUGUAGCAAUACAUGCUGACGAGAGGCGGACGGGUGAGGAACGCUUGGGAAUCUGCCCAUCAGCGGGGGACAACCCGGGGAAACCCGGGCUAAUACCGCAUACGCUCCACGGAGGAAAGCCGGGGACCGCAAGGCCUGGCACUGAUGGAUGAGCCCAAGUCGGAUUAGCUAGUUGGCGGGGUAACGGCCCACCAAGGCGACGAUCCGUAGCUGGUCUGAGAGGACGGUAAGCCAUCCUGGGACUGAGACACGGCCCAGACUCCUACGGGAGGCAGCAGUGGGGAAUAUUGGACAAUGGGGGAAACCCUGAUCCAGCGACGCCGCGGGGGUGAAGAAGGCCUGCGGGUUGUAAAGCCCUUUCGGUAGGGACGAAAGCUCUCGACCUAACACGUCGGGAGGUUGACUUAACCUACAAAAGAAGCACCGGCUAACUCUGUGCCAGCCGCCGCUGUAACAC
rnacentral:rRNA from 1 species